CUUUAGAUCUAGAAGUUGCAACCAAUAGGUCCUCAUAUAAGAGUACAAAUGAUAUAGACCAACCGGAAGUACAAACAGCGAAGGUGAAUGAGGUAUUUAUUGUUAUCACUUUAUUAUUGUCCGCAACGUUUAUUAUAAAUUCACUUAAAGAGGUGCGGCAUGAUAGGAUUAUUUUACGAAGUUGUGAUGUAUUUUAUAGUUAAAAAAAUCAUUGGUUCUGUAUUUAAUAAGUUAAUCGUUCUGUAUUUUUAUUAAUAUAUGUGUUCAAUAUAUAUCUCAUUCAAUUAUUUUCCCUAUAUGAACAGGCAUACUGCUUUUUUUUUCUUUUUUUUUUAUAGAAGUUGUAUAUCAUUUUAUUUUCUAAUGUUUAAAGUUCCUUUUUCAUAGUAUUGAAAUAGAUACCAUCGAACAGCCAGGUGCAGCACAAUCACAUCUAACAGUCUAUUGUCCCCAAGACACCAACCGGCCAGGAUAACGGCAGAAAUGGGAACCUUAACCCAGGAAAGUUUUUUAAAGGAUCAGCUGACUAUUGAGCUUGUGGGAAGGAUCAAAGUUAUCAAAGGAGGCCUUGGGUUGGCUACUACAUUAAAAACUGUAAUGUAUGGGUGCAUGCUAGAAGACCAAGUGACCAUAAUUAUAUUCCCCUUUUGGGGAUUACGAAAUAUAUGAGGAAGAAACCUAACAACCUAAACAAGUCUUAAUUACUCAUUCAACAGUCCAACACAUAAACAAAUAUCAAAUGUUUAUUAUCGGUGUUUAAUUAGUUGUUAAAAUAAGAAAAUACAUUUUUGUUGUUG
rnacentral:lncRNA from 1 species